UACGAAGGGUGCAAGCGUUAAUCGGAAUUACUGGGCGUAAAGCGCACGUAGUCGGCUUUGCAAGUCGGGUGUGAAAUCCCCGGGCUCAACCUGGGAACUGCAUCCGAGACUGCAUUGCUAGAGUAUGGGAGAGGGAAGCGGAAUUUCUGGUGUAGCAGUGAAAUGCGUAGAUAUCAGAAGGAACAUCAGUGGCGAAGGCGGCUUCCUGGACCAAUACUGACGAUCAGGUGCGAAAGCGUGGGGAGCAAACAGG
rnacentral:rRNA from 1 species